rnacentral:rRNA from 1 species
UACGUAGGGUGCGAGCGUUGUCCGGAAUUAUUGGGCGUAAAGGGCUCGUAGGCGGUUUGUCGCGUCGGGAGUGAAAACUCAGGGCUUAACCCUGAGCCUGCUUCCGAUACGGGCAGACUAGAGGUAUGCAGGGGAGAACGGAAUUCCUGGUGUAGCGGUGAAAUGCGCAGAUAUCAGGAGGAACACCGGUGGCGAAGGCGGUUCUCUGGGCAUUACCGGACGCUGAGGAGCGAAAGUGUGGGGAGCGAACAGG